UACGAAGGGUGCAAACGUUGCUCGGAAUUAUUGGGCGUAAAGCGCACGUAGGCGGCUUAGCAAGUCGGAAGUGAAAUCCCUCGGCUCAACCAAGGAAGUGCUUUCGAAACUGCUGAGCUUGAGUACGAAAGAGGAUCGCGGAAUUCCCGGUGUAGAGGUGAAUCGUAGAUAUCGGGAGGAACACCAGUGGCGAAGGCGAGCAUCCUGGCCCUGUCCCUGACG
rnacentral:rRNA from 1 species